UACGUAGGGUGCGAGCGUUUGUCCGGAUUUAUUGGGCGUAAAGAGCGUGUAGGCGGCCAGAAAAGUCCGACUGUGAAAACUCGAGGCUCAACUUCGAAGCUGUCGGUGGAAACUUUCUGGCUAGAGUCCGGAAGAGGAGAAUGGAAUUCCUGGUGUAGCGGUAGAAAUGCGCAGAUAUCAGGAGGAACACCGGUGGCGAAGGCGGGUCUCUGGGCCGAUACUGACGCUGAGGAGCGAAAGCGUGGGGAGCAAACAGG
rnacentral:rRNA from 1 species